UACGAAGGGGGCUAGCGUUGCUCGGAAUGACUGGGCGUAAAGGGCGCGUAGGCGGACGGCUUUGUCGGGCGUGAAAUUCCAGGGCUUAACCUUGGGGCUGCGUUCGAGACGGGUUGUCUAGAGUUUGGAAGAGGUCGUGGAAUUCCCAGUGUAGAGGUGAAAUUCGUAGAUAUUGGGAAGAACACCAGUGGCGAAGGCGGCUCUCUGGACCGUAACUGACGCUGAGGCGCGAAAGCGUGGGGAGCAAACAG
rnacentral:rRNA from 1 species